UAGGGAAUCUUCGGCAAUGGACGAAAGUCUGACCGAGCAACGCCGCGUGAUUGAAGAAGGUUUUCGGAUCGUAAAACUCUGUUGUUAGAGAAGAACAAGGACGUUAGUAACUGAACGUCCCCUGACGGUAUCUAACCAGAAAGCCACGGCUAACUACGUGCCAGCAGCCGCGGUAAUACGUAGGUGGCAAGCGUUGUCCGGAUUGAUUGGGCGUAAAGCGAGCGCAGGCGGUUUCUUAAGUCUGAUGUGAAAGCCCCCGGCUCAACCGGGGAGGGUCAUUGGAAACUGGGAGACUUGAGUGCAGAAGAGGAGAGUAGAAUUCCAUGUGUAGCGGUGAAAUGCGUAGAUAUAUGGAGGAACACCAGUGGCGAAGGCGGCUCUCUGGUCUGUAACUGACGCUGAGGCUCGAAAGCGUGGGGAGCAAACAGG
rnacentral:rRNA from 1 species